rnacentral:lncRNA from 1 species
AGUCAACACAUAUUGGAGGUCCUAUAGAACGUCGCCACGUAGCUCCUAGUUAGAUAGUAUAUAUAGAGACAAGAGUGAAGGCUUCUUCACUCUUGUCAAUUCUUUUUUUGCUUCUAGUCUAGUUUCAAGGGUCUCUAGUUUUCUUGUCUUUUGGCAAUAGCCAUUCUAGUUUCUCUUUUCAAUAUACAUACUUAUUAUUCAUAUUUUGUUACUUUUCUUUGAGUGAAGGCUUACUUGUCCGAACUGUUUUUUCAUCGAGUUCUUGUCCUUGACACAAACCUUAAAUCAAACCUUAACCAAAUCCUAAUCCAAAUCCUAAAUCAAACUCCAACCAAACCCUAAACUCUAAUCUAAAUCAUAAUCCAAUCCUAAACUCUAAUCCAAAUCCUAAACCCUAAACCAAAUCCUAGUCCAAACUCUAAUCCAAAUCCUAAAUCAAACCCUAACCAAAUCCUAAAUCUUAAUCCAAAUCCUAAAUCCUAAUCCAAAUCUUAAUCCAACCCUAAACUCUAAUCCAAAUCUUAAAUCCUAGACCAAACUUUAAAUCAAAUUCUAACCAAACCCUAAUCCAAAUCCUAAUCAAAACCCUAAAUCAAACCCUAACCAAAUCCUAAACCCUAAUUCAAACCCUAAUCCAAUCCUAAACUCUAAUCCAAAUCCUAAAUCCUAAACCAAACCUUAAAUCAAACCCUAACCAAACCCUAAUCCAAAUCCUAAAUCAAAUCCUAAUCAAAUCCUAAACUCUAAUCCAAAUCCUAAUCCAAACCCUAAAUCAAAUCUUAACCAAAUCCUAGUCCAAACUCUAAUCCAAA